rnacentral:rRNA from 1 species
UACGGGGGGGGGCAAGCGUUGUUCGGAAUUACUGGGCGUAAAGGGCGCGUAGGCGGUUCGCUAAGUUGAAUGUGAAAACUCUGGGCUUAACCCAGAGCCUGCAUUCAAUACUGGCGGGCUAGAGUUCUGGAGGGGAUAGCGGAAUUCCUGGUGUAGCGGUGAAAUGCGUAGAUAUCAGGAGGAACACCGGUGGCGAAGGCGGCUAUCUGGACAGAGUCUGACGCUGAGGCACGAAAGCUAGGGGAGCAAACAGG